GUUUUUAUUUUGAUAAUAAAAAUUAUUUAUUCAUCUCACACAUUUGAAAAAUUUCCAUCAGAAUAUGAUAUUACUUCCAACAAAAUCUAAAAUAUUAAUAAAUCAACUAAUAACCACAGACUUUUAAAAAUUGCUAAAUCAUAAUUUAAAACUUAAUCAUAUAUUAUUCCUUUGCAUUUUUUGUUAAGGUAUUACUAUUCAACACGGAAUUUUCCUCAAAGAGUUGAAGCCUUUGCCAUUUAAAUCAGAAAACAAUGGAAAAAAGAGAUGGUAUUGCAUCAUACAUAUUAUAAUGAUAUAAGACUAUAAAAAAAAAUUGAAAAUCCUCUGUAUAAAUUUUAUUAAAUAUAUUACAAUACAACACGGAAUUUUCCUCAAAGAAUUCAAUUCUUUGUCAUUUCAAUCAGAAAACCAUGGAAAAAAGAGAUGGUAUUACUAUUCAACACGGAAUUUUCCUCAAAGAGUUGAAGCCUUUGCCAUUUAAAUCAGAAAACAAUGGAAAAAAGAGAUGGUAUUGCAUCAUACAUAUUAUAAUGAUAUAAGACUAUAAAAAAAAAUUGAAAAUCCUCUGUAUAAAUUUUAUUAAAUAUUUUACAAUACAACACGGAAUUUUCCUCAAAGAAUUCAAUUUUUGUCAUUUCAAUCAGAAAACCAUGGAAAAAAGAGAUGGUAGUGCAUCAUACAAAUUAUAUUGAUAGAAGACUUUAAAAAAGUGAAAAUGCUUUGUAUACAUUUUCUUAUGUGCAAGUAUUACUAUUCAACACGGAAUUUUCCUCAAAGAGUUGAAGCCUUUGCCAUUUAAAUCAGAAAACAAUGGAAAAAAGAGAUGAUUUUACAAUACAACACGGAAUUUUCCUCAAAGAAUUCAAUUCUUUGUCAUUUCAAUCAGAAAACCAUGGAAAAAGAGAUGGUAGUGCAUCAUACAAAUUAUAUUGAUAGAAGACUUUAAAAAAGUGAAAAUGCUUUGUGUACAUUUUCUUAUGUGUAUUACUAUUCAACACGGAAUUUUCCUCAAAGAGUUGAAGCCUUUGCCAUUUAAAUCAGAAAACAAUGGAAAAAAGAGAUGGUAUUGCAUCAUACAUAUUAUAAUGAUAUAAGACUAUAAAAAAAAAUUGAAAAUCCUCUGUAUAAAUUUUAUUAAAUAUUUUACAAUACAACACGGAAUUUUCCUCAAAGAAUUCAAUUCUUUGUCAUUUCAAUCAGAAAACCAUGGAAAAAAGAGAUGGUAGUGCAUCAUACAAAUUAUAUUGAUAGAAGACUUUAAAAAAUUGAAAAUGCUUUGUAUACAUUUUCUUAUGUGCAAGUAUUACUAUUCAACACGGAAUUUUCCUCAAAGAGUUGAAGCCUUUGCCAUUUAAAUCAGAAAACAAUGGAAAAAAGAGAUGAUAUUACAAUACAACACGGAAUUUUCCUCAAAGAAUUCAAUUCUUUGUCAUUUCAAUCAGAAAACCAUGGAAAAAAGAGAUGGUAUUACUAUUCAACACGGAAUUUUCCUCAAAGAGUUGAAGCCUUUGCCAUUUAAAUCAGAAAACAAUGGAAAAAAGAGAUGGUAUUGCAUCAUACAUAUUAUAAUGAUAUAAGACUAUAAAAAAAAAUUGAAAAUCCUCUGUAUAAAUUUUAUUAAAUAUUUUACAAUACAACACGGAAUUUUCCUCAAAGAAUUCAAUUCUUUGUCAUUUCAAUCAGAAAACCAUGGAAAAAAGAGAUGGUAGUGCAUCAUACAAAUUAUAUUGAUAGAGGACUUUAAAAAAGUGAAAAUGCUUUGUGUACAUUUUCUUAUGUGUAUUACUAUUCAACACGGAAUUUUCCUCAAAGAGUUGAAGCCUUUGCCAUUUAAAUCAGAAAACAAUGGAAAAAAGAGAUGGUAUUGCAUCAUACAUAUUAUAAUGAUAUAAGACUAUAAAAAAAAAUUGAAAAUCCUCUGUAUAAAUUUUAUUAAAUAUAUUACAAUACAACACAGAAUAUUCCUCAAAGAAUUCAAUUCUUUGUCAUUUCAAUCAGAAAACCAUGGAAAAAAGAGAUGGUAGUGCAUCAUACAAAUUAUAUUGAUAGAAGACUUUAAAAAAUUGAAAAUGCUUUGUAUACAUUUUCUUAUGUGCAAGUAUUACUAUUCAACACGGAAUUUUCCUCAAAGAGUUGAAGCCUUUGCCAUUUAAAUCAGAAAACAAUGGAAAAAAGAGAUGGUAUUGCAUCAUACAUAUUAUAAUGAUAUAAGACUAUAAAAAAAAAUUGAAAAUCCUCUGUAUAAAUUUUAUUAAAUAUAUUACAAUACAACACGGAAUUUUCCUCAAAGAAUUCAAUUCUUUGUCAUUUCAAUCAGAAAACCAUGGAAAAAAGAGAUGGUAGUGCAUCAUACAAAUUAUAUUGAUAGAAGACUUUAAAAAAUUGAAAAUGCUUUGUAUACAUUUUCUUAUGUGCAAGUAUUACUAUUCAACACGGAAUUUUCCUCAAAGAGUUGAAGCCUUUGCCAUUUAAAUCAGAAAACAAUGGAAAAAAGAGAUGGUAUUGCAUCAUACAUAUUAUAAUGAUAUAAGACUAUAAAAAAAAAUUGAAAAUCCUCUGUAUAAAUUUUAUUAAAUAUAUUACAAUACAACACAGAAUAUUCCUCAAAGAAUUCAAUUCUUUGUCAUUUCAAUCAGAAAACCAUGGAAAAAAGAGAUGGUAGUGCAUCAUACAAAUUAUAUUGAUAGAAGACUUUAAAAAAUUGAAAAUGCUUUGUAUACAUUUUCUUAUGUGCAAGUAUUACUAUUCAACACGGAAUUUUCCUCAAAGAGUUGAAGCCUUUGCCAUUUAAAUCAGAAAACAAUGGAAAAAAGAGAUGGUAUUGCAUCAUACAUAUUAUAAUGAUAUAAGACUAUAAAAAAAAAUUGAAAAUCCUCUGUAUAAAUUUUAUUAAAUAUUUUACAAUACAACACAGAAUUUUCCUCAAAGAAUUCAAUUCUUUGUCAUUUCAAUCAGAAAACCAUGGAAAAAAGAGAUGGUAGUGCAUCAUACAAAUUAUAUUGAUAGAAGACUUUAAAAAAUUGAAAAUGCUUUGUAUACAUUUUCUUAUGUGUAUUACUAUUCAACACGGAAUUUUCCUCAAAGAGUUGAAGCCUUUGCCAUUUAAAUCAGAAAACAAUGGAAAAAAGAGAUGGUAUUGCAUCAUACAUAUUAUAAUGAUAUAAGACUAUAAAAAAAAAUUGAAAAUCCUCUGUAUAAAUUUUAUUAAAUAUUUUACAAUACAACACGGAAUUUUCCUCAAAGAAUUCAAUUCUUUGUCAUUUCAAACAGAAAACAAUGGAAUAAAGAGAUGGUAUUGCAUCAAACAAAUUAUAAUGAUAUAAGAUUUUAAAAAGAUUGAAAAUACUCUGUAUAAAUUUUCUUUUGUGUAUUACUAUUCAACACGGAAUUUUCCUCAAAGAAUUGAAGCUUUUGCAUUUAAAUCAGAAAACAAUGGAAAAAAGAGAUGGUAUUGCAUCACAUGAAGUAUAUUGAAAUGAGUCUUUGAAAAAUUGAAAAUCCUUUGUAUAAAUUGUAUUAUGUAGACAGAAAAGACAACACGAAAAACAGUGAAGCGGUAGCGGUAUACUAAACAAGAGACGAAAAUCUUUACGUACGUACGUAUAGUAGUUAGAAUAAUAAUAAGGGUGUUGGCCGUUAAAUAAUAACAAUAAUAAUGAUAAAAUGAUAUAAAACUAAUGACAAUAAACAUAUGUGGCAUAAGGCCGACCAAUAUUUUUUCCUUAGAAAAUAGUAUAACACAAAGAGAAUAAAUAACAUGAAUAUUAUAAAAUUUCACAAUUACUUUGCCAAAGUGGUGGAUGGUGAGGAAGAAAGGUAAUUAAAACUGUGUUGUCGUAGCUCAGACCAUCGUCCCGCGAUAACACAUUGCUUAGCGCGAACAGGUGUAGUACGAUCCAUUAAAUUUGCGAAUCAUAUAAAUUUUAACAGCAAUUAAACAUAUGAAGACACGAUUUUGCAAAAUUUAACACUCACGCAUAAUUAUAUUAUUUCCCUUACGGUAACUACUAGAAAUGCGGGACGAUGGUGUUGCCAACACAACGACGGAUAGAGUGGCUACAAUGUGUGUCGGCAUCCAGUGAUUUCGCUUAUUGCUUCCAUUUGUAUCUUGUUUAUUGUUGAGCAUGAACUAAAUAACAUUUCACUGACGUCGCGUUUCCUCAUCACAGGCAUCGCACCGUUCUCUUGAUUACCAAAUUAUACACACAUAUCAGAAAAAAUAGAAUAAUUCUUUUGUUUGCUAUAAAUUAAAAAUAUAAUUUUGUAUCUAUAGUAAACUAUAUACAUUUUAAACGUACAUUAUAACAACGAAAUAAUAAAUAGGUUAAGUAGUAUAUACCUGUUGUAAAUUCUGAGGAAAUAUUGUGUUUCGUAGCAAAGUUUAAAAAUAAAUUCCAAGUUUUAGAAAAUUCUGAAAAACUUCUCAUUUGAUAAAAUGUUUUGAUCGCGCUAUUUAUUGUACUUAAUUAUAAAAUUUUUUUAUUUUCAUUUAUUAUAUUUAAUUUAUUAAAGAAUGAGAGAAUAUUUCCAUCCUUUUUAUUUUUACCACUCAUGGCCCAAGUAAUUUUAUUUUAAUUUUUAAUUAAAUGUUUUAAUGGUUUAUAAAAUAAAAUCACAGUCACAGAAAAGUUACAAUAAUUAUUAAUUAUACAAAAUUUUUUCAUGAAUACACAACUACACCAAUAGAGUAUCACACAAAUGUGAAGCAUACGUACUGCAUUUAUCGUAAAAACAUUAUAGACGAUCGAUUUCAAAAAAUAGAAUUGGGAAAACAACAGUCCAUAACGAUCGAUUAUACAAAUACAAUAAAUGGCAUUAAUGCAUCAUGUGGGUAUCUAUUAUAUUUAUCGCGGAAAUAUUAAAAUAUACAGCCUUAAUAUAUUACUAUACGUAUUACAUAGGCAACUUUGUGUGAAAAGUUAAAUCGAUUCCAAACUACGUGUACAGUAAUAUUUUUGAAUAUUUUAAUUAUGGUUAUUUUUUAAUUUGUAAUUUUUAUAUAAAUACAUGUAAAAAAAAAUGUACACUUAUCAAUUUAAAAAUUAUUGAUUUUUCAAUAGUUUACGGGACACCAAUAAAUUUGGGGGGGCUAAGGGAGCUUAGCCCCCCUGCGAUUUGCGCCUAUGCUGCUGUAGAAUUCUGCCUACUGUAAAAUACUUCAUGCGACAUAGCUAACCUACUAGCUAAACCCACAUUACAUAUUUUUAAACGAAAACAACAAAUAUAUUGUGUUAAUUAAUUCUUAAUUGAUGUUGAAAUAAAAUUAUUUUUGUUUAUUGAGAUCUCAAUCUUUGUUUGAGUUGACAUAAUUGAUUAUAGUGUAAUUUAACUUUUAUGUAUUUUUGUAUGAUAAAUUUAACAAUUUUUAAUAAAUGAUUGUUUAGUGGCGAUUGUGAUAAAAAUAACUAUUUUGGAAUGAUGUGCGUUUAAGCCAUCAUAUCUUUUUUAAAUUUAAAGUAUAUAAGAAAUAAUUAUAAUAAUUAUUAGCCAUUAAGAUUUUGUACACACACAUACACACACAUAUUGAUAUAUCAUAUUAUAAGAACUCUAGUCUGCCGUUCAGGUGGGCAAUUGCGUUAUCAUGGUGUCAUUGUACGGACGGUAAGAGACUACGCAGAUCGUCUGGACAGUAAGACAUAGUUAAUUAAUUAUAAACGUUUUUAAUAAUAAUUUAAUAUAUAUGUAUAUAUAUAUAUAUAUAUUAAUGUGUGUAAAAGAAAAGGGUUAAAUAAAAUUAACAAGUAGUGAUUCAAUCGUAUUUCUAACUAGCUUUAGCAUAUGAGUUGAGUCUAAAAAUAUACACACAUUUUCUUUUGUCACUAAGUGGAGAAACGAUGAAAUUUGAUUGUGUAGAUCUGCUCCUAAAUGUCUGGCCAUUGAAAUAUUGGAAGCAACUUUGAAAAAGUUAAAUAGUUUUUACAAUAGCUCAGAAUUCAUGAAUAUUAAUUAGAUAUGUCUCAAGGAGAUUGGCUUUUUCUUCAGCAGUUAAUCUAUUUAUUAAGAAGUAUGCAACAGGGAUUUUCCUAUGUGAAUUAAUGCAAUAAUUAAGAACACAAGAACUUUUGUAGCUUUUGAUAUUGCAUAAAAAAAAUGGUUAUAUUAAAUUUUCAAAGUGUUUUACCAAGCAAAAAAAUUUUUAUCAACAUUUAAUGAUUUUUACUUACUUGGGACAACAUUUCUUUUCAAUUACUUAGAUUGAAAUACACUCGUAGCUGUAACUUAGUAGUCUUAAUCAUUAUCAAAAUAUAGCCCACAUAGGGUACAAGUUUUUGCAAGCUUCAAUAAAUUAUUGAAUUAUUUUUUCAAGAAAUUUAAUUCAUUCCUUAGAAUUAUCACCUUUAGAAAGUCUAAACAUUUAGAAAAUUCUUUUUCAAAAUGUGUUUUUUAUUAUAAGAAAGUAACAAAAUAUAAAAACUUGUGAAACUUUAUUCCUUGGCCAGCUUUGAAGUUGAAUCCUUUCACUGAACAAGUUUUAACCAUUUUUUAUUCGAAAAAAAUAUCAAAUAAAAUUAAAAAAAAUAAAUAAAUAAAAAACACUUGAAAAUAGCAAAACAACAUAAAAAACACACGUAAACACAACUACUGAACUACACAAUUAGGUGCGUCUAAUGUCCGGCGGGGAGUCUCCAUUGUCCCUAUUUUUUAUUAAAAAAAAAAAUUUAAAUCUGGCACAAUAGUUUUUUUUUCAAAUAUUGGUCACACUGUAAUUAUUUUUUACUCCAUAUCGACGCCACGUAACACGUUUCUCUGUCUAAGCGCAGUCCAUUAGUUUAUAGGUCUAUAGUUAGUUAAUUAGUUAUUUUUUUAUAUUCUUUCUUAACACGUAAUUAAAGAAUUCUUUCUGUUAUAAUAAUAAAAUAACAUUAUUGUUUGCAAAUUUAACAGAGUAAAUGGCCUUUUUGUCAUCCUAACACAAAUAUAUAAAAAUUCUUCACUUUAAAAUCACAGACUCGUGAAACAACACCUGCCAUUGUUGUGAUAUCUUUGAACAUUGAAUCAACUAUUAUUCCAUCUCAUCGGAACUGAUAACUACAAUGGUAAACAAGUGCUCUUUGAAAACAUGCAAAAACCAAUAUUCAAGAAACCAUGUUAAACACCAUAGGUUUCCACUAAAAAAUAAAAAAACUUUGCAACAUUGGAUUUCUUUUACUGGUAGAAACGUAAGUUGGUCACCUACAAAGAGCAGCAGAUUAUGUAGUGAACAUUUUUUAAAGACAGAUUAUAUAGAAGAACAUGGGAAGUUUAAAUUAAAACCCACAGCUAUACCAACCAUAGAAAUUCUGACUAUAGGAUCUGAAGAUUGUCCUAAUGAAGAGGAGAUAAUCAUGGAUGGUAUUGAAGAUAGCAUGUAUGAGAUAAAUGUUUGUACUGUAGCAGAUACAUCGGAAAAUGUAUUGUACUAUUUUCAGAGCAUCACAGAUAUGGAUAAUAAGAUUGCUAAUUAAUUUUUUUUGUGAUAUGAUAUGAUGUUAUUAUUAUAACUUUGAGUAAUCCAAAUGUAUGCCAAAAUCCCAGUAUAAUUAUAAAAAUGAAUGACUAUUAUAAGUUAUAAGACUAGAAAUUGUAAUACAAAAAUUAUGACAUAAUAAGAUAUAAAUUACCUACUAGUAAUCGCAGAUAUAAUGGUUUCAUAUGCUUAUAUAGUUAUAUAACUUGGAAAUUUAAUGUAUUAUUUAUAUCUGUGGUUAGUAAACAACAAGGUGUAUUUAUCAGGAUAGGUGUCAAUACUCAGAUUAUCCAUUGAACAAAAAAUCUACACCAGUUGAAAACACCACUGGAAGAACUGAUUACCUUUUAAGACCUGAUAUUAUGCUUGUACUUUAUGCAAAAUAUAAAAUUUAAUAUCAUACAAGGUAAUUUAAAACAACCUGAACAAUAUUUAAAAUAAAACUGUAGUUCUAAAUAAAGAAUUGUUUUAAUGUUAAGUUUCAUACAUAAUAUAAUAAAUAAGAACUAGAAAAUUUUAAUUGUAUGCAUCACAGCUAACUGAUUUUUGUUUUAUACUAUUGUAGAUAUGGUACUAGUAUAUAGAUUUUUUUCUAUCACAGUAAAAAUGUAUUUUG